AUGGCGACGAGCGUGACGGGAUCGCCGGUUCCUUCUCCACGGGAGGUACUGUACGCGGUCGCGGCCGCGGCCAUCGCGUGGUGCGCCGUGCGGGCGCUGGAGUGGGCGUGGUGGAGGCCCCGCCGCCUGGACCGGGCGCUGCGGUCGCAGGGCCUCCGCGGCACGGCGUACCGGCCGGUGGCCGGCGACGUGCAGCUGAGCCAGCGGCUCAACAAGGAGGCGAGGUCCCGGACCAUGCCGCAGGGCUGCCACGACGUCGUGCCGCGGGCGAUGCCGCUCCUCCACCAGGCCGCCAAGGAGCACGGUAAAAUGUCCUUCACCUGGCUUGGACCGGUGCCUAGAGUGACCAUCACCAAGCCUGAGCUGGUGCGCGAAGUUCUGUCCAACAAGUCCGGCCACUCAGAGAAGCUCAACCUCGGCCGACUCCAGAGGAUGCUUCACAACGGCGUGGGUGGCCACGAGGGCGAGAAGUGGGCAAAGCACAGGAGGAUCAUCAACCCCGCCUUCCAUCUGGAAAAGCUCAAGCGCAUGCUGCCGGCUUUCGCCGCGUGUAGCACGGAGCUGGUAUGCCGAUGGGAAGGUUUAGCCGCAGGGGAUGCCCCGUGCGAGGUGGAUGUUUGGCCCGAGAUGCAGAGCCUGACGGGAGACGUCAUCUCCCGCGCCGCGUUCGGCAGCAGCUACCUCGAAGGAAGGAGGAUCUUCCAGCUUCAGCGGGAGCAGAUCGAGCUCGCCAUGUUUGCCAUGAGCAAGAUGCACAUUCCUGGUUACUUGUUCUUGCCUACCAAAGCCAACCGAAGGAUGAGGCAGAUCGCCGCGGAGAUCGGGAGGAUCCUGAAAGGCAUCAUCGUCAAGAGGGAGAACGCCCUGAGAGCCGGCGAAGCCACGAGCGACGACCUUCUCGGGCUGCUGCUGGAGUCGAACAUGGCGCACGGCAGGGGAGAUGGCAUCACGACCGACGACGUGGUCGGGGAGUGCAAGCUGUUCUACUUUGCUGGCAUGGAGACCACGGCGGUGCUGCUCACGUGGACGAUGGUCGUGCUCUGCAUGCACCCGGAGUGGCAGGACCGUGCUAGGGAGGAGGUCACGCAGGUCUUCUCCGCCGGCACUACUCCAGAUUACGAUGGCUUAGGGCGCCUGAAAACCGUGACCAUGGUGCUUUACGAGGUGCUGCGGUUGUACACGCCGCUGACGGCGCUCCAGCGCAAGACGUGCAAGCCGAUGGACCUCGGGGGCGUCAGGUACCCGGCGGGCGUGGUUCUCAUGCUGCCGCUGCUGUGCGUCCACCACGACAAGGAGGUCUGGGGCGCGGAUGCCGACGAGUUCAGGCCCGAGAGGUUCGCCGAGGGGAUCUCCAAGGCGUCGGCGGAUGCGCCGGCGUUCUUCCCGUUCGGGUGGGGCCCGCGGACUUGCGUCGGCCAGAGCUUCGCGCUGCUCGAGGCCAAGAUGGGGCUCGCCAUGAUCCUGCGGCGCUUCUCCUUGGAGCUCUCGCCGUCCUACGCGCACGCGCCCUUCCCCGUCGGCAUGCUGCAGCCAGAGCACGGCGCGCAAAUCAGGCUCAAGAGGCUCCACUGA
rnacentral:rRNA from 1 species